UAACUAGCUUAGCUAGUUUGUCAGUAACAGAAAAUUGAAAAUGUUUUCCUAUUGAAAGAGUCAGUUUUGUCUUUAGACAUUAGUGGAGCUCUUCAACUUGCUGAAGACUGCAAACCAUUCAACGUAAGUUUAGGGGUAGUGAUAGGCUAGCCAUCGAGAGCUUUCAAUGAGCUGUCAGUGUAGCUACUGGGAUUGAGUCAUGUGGUCCAGAGGGGGUAACCCAGGCAACCCUGUAUCCACGGGAAUGUGGUGACGUGAGAAGCAGACCUUCAUAGAUGACAGGAAGCUCUUAUGAUAAAUAACUGAUGGUUAUAUCUGUCCAAUUUGAUUUAGCUAUAUAUUAUAAAGUCAACUAAUAUCACCCAAAUUCAUAUUCCCUUCAGAUCCCUAGCAGAGUGAGGCUGUGUAUCGGUUCUGUAUCAGUGUGAACCCUUCGGACCUAAUGGAACUGGAGUUUACACACCUCCCUCCGUUCCGAGUACACCCUGGAUCUCUGAGUUUCCCCGUGGUUCCAUGUGCUGGGAGAUGAGCUGUGUAACUCCAUGAGGAUUGGACGUCUGUACAGGGUGCUGGGCAUACCGGCCCAUGUCAACCAGUGGCUGAAGGUCACCUGGAGCGUGGAGGCCAAUAGCGUUCCACAGUGGGAGCCUGAGUGUAAGGACCUAUAUGCAUGCUUACAGUGGUACGUCAGUUUACAUUCAAUCCUAUUCCUAAUCUAUAGGCCUUGUUUUCAGCUUCUCUGAGAAAGCCAUUCAUAGGGAACAUUCAUGUGCUUGUCUGUGUAUUACCUCUGUCACAUGCCUAUACUAUACGAGGCGGCUAGGGAGGAGCUAUAGGAGGACGGGCUCCUUGUAAUGGCUGGAAUGGAAUUAAUGGAAUGGAAUCGAACGCAGUUUCCAUGUUUUAUGUCUUUGAUACUGUUCCAUUUAUUCCAUUCCAGCCAUUACAAGGAGCCAGUCCUCCUAUAGCUCCUCCCACCAGCCUCUGCUGUACUAUACAAUAUUUGCAUUGACAACAAGUCACACUUCAGUAGUAAGAUACCCUGGCACCAUCAGCUGUAACUUCCAGGCCCUGUUGACGGCCACAGCCUGUUCUCCCUGGAGGUUCUCUACCAUCGCGGCUAACUCGUUUGGCUCUGCUGUGGUUCCUCCAGGCCUGUACCGCAGCCUGAAACUGGGCCUGCUGCUCAGCCUGGUCCAGGGCAGGGAGGACAACCCAGACUCACUGCACUACCUGGACCUGCUAGCCCUGACGUCUGACACAUUCAAACUGGACAAGUACUACAGCUCAUCAUUCAGUCAGUCAAUCAAUCAAUCAACUAAGUUCUUAGGAAACGCAGUAUCAUCACUCAUUGACGAAAUUCCCUGAAAUACAGUAAAAAUGUACUAUGCUUAUAUUGAAGUCAACACCCUCCGUUACCCUGUCUUAAGGCCAAAUCAAACGGAACACGCGUGUACACACUGGAAUUAGAAUGCACGGUAGUUAAUGAUAGAAAACAGAAGGGCACAGAGCAUCACCAUCGUCAAAAGCAGCAUGCGCUUCAAAUUAGAAAGCAAGUCUUUUUCUUGCAUAGCAAUGCUUGUUCGCAUUUUGUUUGAUUUGGCCUUCAGGUUGAUGAAUUACAGCCUGGGUCUGGCUGGCAAUGGGGUGAGACACCCUGAAACAGGGGAGAUGUAUGCCUCGCUGUCUCGGGAUGAGCACGGAGCGGGCACGGCCAACAUCCAUGCGGUAAGGACACGAUGUCAGGUGCUGAGCCCUGCUUACUUUGUAGCCUGGAAGCCAGUCUUAUUCAGCUCUAGCUAAUGUGUUGUCUUGUCAAAGCAAUGAAGAAACAUUAUGGCACCUCCUGUGAUACACAACGUGUAGAGUGGAUGCUGACAAACAGAUGUCCUUUCCCAUCCAGUUUCAGCACCCUGGCAGUCCACAGCCCCCUCAAACAAGACCCCCAGGACUGACAGUGUAGUGCUGGGAACAGUGGUUGGUCAUUGUUGGCUUUCACUGUGGUGUUCAUUAAUGUUCAAUUUACAUUAUGAUUUCAAAUGUAUUGGACUACAUCGCUUGAUAAAUGUGCCCACGAUGAAUGUCACUAUUGUGUUGUCUGAUGUGGUGAUUCUGCAACAUCGCCAUUCCAAGUGAGCAAUUUGAAGCAUUUUAUCAUGUCCCACAAUGCCAGUAGAACUCAGCACUGGCAAAGACAAUGUAUUCCAGACUGCAGAAAUAUAAAAUCUCUCAGAGCCAACUGUGUAUUUAGGCGUGUGCUUUAUGUAGGCAAAACAGGAAGGGAAGACUAUUUACUCUUUCCAGAGGAAGUUAAUUGCUCCCACAGGCUGCUGCCCAAACAAACCCAGCCCGAGAAUAGACGAUGCCUUCAGGUCCCCUCUACUUUGGCUUCAGCACCAAUUCAGGAUGGACAAGAAACGGUAGUGGUAAAGAUAGUACUGAUGAAUACAGUACUUCAAUGUUAAGGUAGUAGGUCAUAGUACUUUUACACAGGGGGGGGGGGGGGCUGCCCAGUUCUGGUCCAGUUAGGCUACUAUUCUCCUCUGAAGCUCCCUGCCCAGCUGGCUGAAACCUUUGGCCUCGUGAUUCAGUGUCGGGAAAAUACAUAUGCACACUAUUAGAUGCCCCCAAAAUGCUGUGACGGACCACAUUUGGACUUAUCUUUGGUAGUGCUCGGUUGUUUAAACUGGGGGGGGGGGGGGGCAUGGUGCUCUCCUUCCCACAGCUCUUGGCCCACACAGGUGAUCCAGACAGAUCUGAGCCCUGUAGCAGAGAAGAUCCAAGAGUACCAAUGUGGUAGCAGGCGUUCUCGUGUAACAGUUGGGAUAAUGGGACAAUUCGGAGUACAAUGCAUUUCUCAUCCCUGGAUUGAGGAUCUCCGCUGAGGCCCACAGUAAGCUGUCUCUGAGGAGCAAGUUAUUGGAGGAUACAGUGAUCACCAUGUGAAAACUCCUCUAACAUGGUAGAACACCCAGGACCAGAGCCACAUCAGCAGCCAAACUCAGAUCCUAUUUGUUGCCAUGAUAUUUGUAGCAGCUAUAAAAAUGUUGUAAUCACCACUACCUUCCAACACACAGCCCGGAUAACUGACAGUACAAGAACAAGCCCCCCCAGGACUGCACCAUUGGUAGUUACAGCAGUCCAAUCGAUCCCUAUGGUUUAUUUGAGGAUCAUUUCUACGGGGGCCCUCUAGUAAUGGCUACAGCCAAGAGUAUCCUGGCCAUCAAAGUAUUUGCUUUAGUUAUAGUCUGUGUAGUGAAGAGAUCCUGGUAGUUGGUCUGGGGACUUCUCCCUCUACCCACAGGCCUCAGCGCUCAUUAUGUCACUGUGACCUGGAAGCGCACCACAGGAGAACUGACCCAGGAACAGCUCUCUCAGAGCAUCCUACACUUUAGUCGACACCUACAUCACCGAGUAGGACCAGGACCACAGCUAGGUAAACUUCCAUUACGUAUGGUUCAGCGCUAAGAUUAGGGUUUAUUCUGGGUAACAAGUAGCUUACAAUAGUAUUUCACAGUAAAAUUUGAGUUGGUGCCUAAACAAUACAAUAGGUGAUUAUGUAAGGUUCUCAUUUGAUAAAUAUUUCAAUGAAGCCAGAAGAACACAAUGUACUAUAAAGUAGUUUUUAAUAACAUGUAUCAUAAUGAACAGGGCAGAUUAAAAUCAGGAAUUUUUUUUUGACUUUAUUUAGACAUGGUCACAUUGAGACCAUGGUUGUUUUUUUGCCAGGCAAGAAAGUUUUGAAAAGGGGCAAAGGAUAUUUAGGUGUCACGGGUUAACUUUUGAGUACAUGAGCCACCUUCCAAACCUUGAGGAUUGUGUCAAUAGUCAAACACAGCUAAAGUAAAUUACCAGUUUCUUAAUUGAUAAUCAACUGUAAUCAUUAAGACUAAUGCCUAGAUAAAUAAAAGGUUAAAUUAGAUUUGCUGGCAACAAAAUUACUUUAACGUUCUACAAUAGUUUAUUUAUAGUGCUGGUAAUUGAGAUGAAUGGCUUUUCAGGAGGGUAAAUCAGCAGAAAAGGCAUCACAAUUCCAGUAAAAUGGCUGAACAGUUCUAAGUCGACACCUCAAACCAGGAAGAAACUCACCAUAAGACACUCAUCUACUGCAGGUCCAACAAACCUACACAAUAAAAAUACAAAAGUCUUGGUAAACCUUAUUUUGUCAGGGAUUGCAGGUUUAGCUAUUAAAUGAUCAAUGAUAAUGCUGGUGGUUCAGUUAGUCACAGUCUCAACACCCCAAUUUAGUCAGAUGGGUAAACGGCAAAAGUGUGAAGUCAUCACAACUCCAGUAGCAGAACAGACCCAAGGAAAACAGUUUCUUGGCUAUGUUAAGCCCUCAAACUCACCAUAGGGCUGAGAUUUAGAUCUUCAUACUGGACCAUCAAUCUAGAAUCGAAGAACAGUCUAUUAGCAUUUCAUUUGAUUGUAGUUAGGCAAAAUAUGCAAGAGAUUAUACUGAUAGUUCAGUUCGUCACAUUGUCAGCACCCCAAUUUAGUCUGAUGGGUAAACGGCAAAAUGUAGAACUCAUCACAACUACAGUUGCAUGCACUUUCGACAAAAGACGUACACAUCAGGUUUGGCCCUCAGGAGGAAAAACUCACCACAGGGCAAGAUUUACUUCUUCAGUCUACAUGCUAGCCAAUCAAAUCUAGGAAAGAAUACACGUUCAAAUUAACAUCAUUUGAUAGAUGUAAUGUAAAACAUGUCAGAAUACACUGGUAGUUCAGUUAGUCACAUUCUCAGCACCCCAAUAAUAGUCUGAUGGGUAAACGGCAAAAAUGAUAACUCAUCACAACUCCAGUAUCAACAUUAUCCAAAGGGAAAACAGAUGUCAAACAGCCAACUCAAUUGGGCUAGUUGUAUACUGGCAAGUUAAUGGCAGUGGAGAAAAAGGUAUAGGUCAAGGGUCAGCAACAGGAAACACCCCAAAGUGUACAACACAAAUGACUGGGAAUUCAGCUAAAAACACCUUCAAUUUAGGAAAUCUGAGUAUCCCCACAAAUAAAAAUAUAUAUGUGAUCGUGUCUCAAUGUAAUCAAGGCAUUUUCAAAUACAAUGUGCUUAAUUGUCAAUUUGUAGUACACUAAAUUAUAAUUGUGUUCCUGAUUCCCCCCCCCCCUUAGGCACGCGGCAGAGUACAGUUGCAGACCUAACUCACCAAAAGACUCGAUGAUCCUCCUACAGCGUCUUCAGCAUCCUGCCAGCCCAUCAAGUCUGUGGGAGAAAAACUCAUUGUUAUCCUGAUGAUCAUUGGUCUCCAACUGAGAGAUGGUGGUUUGGAAAUUGUAUUAUCUCCUUAGAAUAAUGCUGAUGGUUCAGUUAGUCACAGUCUCAACACCCCAAUUUAGUCAGAUGGGUAAACGGCAAAAGUGUGAGGUCAUCACAGUACCAGCAAAACAACGACUAGCAGAGCACAGCUUAGAGUUAGGUGUGGACGCACCUCGGUACCACAGUAACGCAUCCAGCACCAUCUAUCCCUGAAAGACACAGAACCUGUGAGGGGGAAUGACAAUUAACUCUGCAUCAAGAAUAGUCAAUCACAUCUACGACAGUAGUGGUAUGGUCAGUGAUAAUACUGGUGGUUCAGUUAGUCACAAUCUCAGCAACCUAAUUUAGUCAGAUGGGUAAACGGCAAAAUGAUAACUCAUCACAACUCCAGUACUAUCAGACCAGAGAAGUAUUGCACAUUCUUGGCCCUUAAAAAAAAUCUUGGAUCAAAAUUGGACAACUCACCUUGAGUGAAACAAAUCAGCCUGUAUGAAUGUCUGGAACCAUUAGUCUCCAUCCAACUACAAGAUAAACAAAAACACAUUUACAC